GAUGAACGCUGGCGGCGUGCUUAACACAUGCAAGUCGAACGGUGAAGGCGGAGCUUGCUCUGCUGGAUCAGUGGCGAACGGGUGAGUAACACGUGUGCAAUCUGCCCCUGACUUUGGGAUAAGCUCUGGAAACGGCGUCUAAUACUGGAUACGAGCUGCGAAGCCAUCUUCAGCAGCUGGAAAUCACUUCUGUCCGGGAUGAGCUCGCGGCCUACGAGCUUGUUGGUGAGGUAACGGCUCACCCAGGCGUCGACGGGUAGCCGGCAUGAGAGGGGGAACGGGGACAAGAGGACUGAGGGAGGGCGCAGACUCGAACGGGAGGCAAUAGUGGGGAAUAUGGCACAAUGGGCGAAAGCCUGAGACAGCGACGCCGCGUGAGUGAAGACGGCCUUCGGGUUGUAAACAUCUGUUGGCAGAGAAGAAGCGAAAGUGACGGUACCUGAAGAAAAAGCGCCGGCUAACUACGUG
rnacentral:rRNA from 1 species